AGUGCUCUUUUCCACUUCUUUGUCUUGUCCGUUCUAGUGACAAUAUUUUCACAAUCAACGGGAAGCCUUUUCCUAGCUUACAGAGCUCUCUUUCUUUAGGAUAUUCAAAUUUCAUUUUAGGAUAGGGGCAAGCCUACCACAGAUAGUUGGAGAGCGAGUACAUUCAGAUCGAGAUUUCAUCUGAGCCCUGUACUAUGGAAAGGGAAAAAGAUUACAUCCCUAUAUUAUGACAAUACCAG
rnacentral:lncRNA from 1 species